rnacentral:lncRNA from 1 species
GCUAGUUGGCAGUAGCGACCGUCACCCUGGUUAUAUUUCAUUCCUGCUCUUAGUAGUUGUUAAUAAUAAAUGGUUCAGUUAGAUGAUCAUUACUGAUGUUUGAAUAUUUGAAUGAGUUGGUUUUCCUCCUAUGCAUGAGAUUGUGGAUCUGAGAUUAGAGAUUUGCAGAUUCUUGAUUUUGGUUUUAUGAAUAGUUGAUUCUCGAUUUAUAUAUUUACGGAUUUAUACAUUGUGGCUUUCUACCCAUCGAGGUAGUCGAUUUUCAAAAUAGAGUUUCCGUGUGGGAAAUAGUUUUCAAAAGAUUUUCGAAUUGGUUUUCGUAUUUGAAUUAGAGUUUUAAAAGCAAAGCUUCCAGGUGGGGAGCACUUUUAAUAGGAUGACUG